UAUAUACUCCCUCCGCCCGGAAAUACUUGUCCUACAAAUGAUUGUACUAGACUUAUUUUAGUUAUAGAUACAUCCAUUUUAUUCAUUUUUAGGACAAGUAUUUCCGGGCGGAGGGAGUAUUAG
rfam:Triticum aestivum genome assembly, contig: Triticum_aestivum_CS42_TGACv1_scaffold_147908_2BS